rnacentral:rRNA from 1 species
AUUGAACGCUGGCGGCAGGCCUAACACAUGCAAGUCGAGCGGCAGCGGGAAAGUAGCUUGCUACUUUUUCCGGCGAGCGGCGGACGGGUGAGUAAUGCCUGGUAUCUGCCCAGUCGAGGGGGAUAACUACUGGAAACGGUAGCUAAUACCGCAUACGCCCUACGGGGGAAAGCAGGGGACCUUCGGGCCUUGCGCGCUUGUACGAACCCCGGUGGGAUUAACUAGUUGGUGAGGUAAUGGCUCACCAAGGCGACGAUCCCUAGCUGGUCUGAGAGGAUGGUCAGUCACACUGGAACUGAGACACGGUUCAGACUCCUACGGGAGGCAGCAGUGGGGAAUAUUGCACAAUGGGGGAAACCCUGAUGCAGCCAUGCCGCGUGUGUGAAGAAGGCCUUCGGGUUGUAAAGCACUUUCAGCGAGGAGGAAAGGUUGGUAGCUAAUAGCUGCCAGCUGUGACGUUACUCGCAGAAGAAGCACCGGCUAACUCCGUGCCAGCCGCCGCCGUAACAC